UAAUACAGAGGGUGCGAGCGUUGUUCGGAAUUACUGGGCGUAAAGCGCGUGUAGGCGGUUCGAUAAGUCAGAUGUGAAAGCCUGGAGCCUAACUCCAGAAGUGCAUUUGAAACUGUCGAGCUAGAGUGAUGUAGAGGAUGGCGGAAUACCCAGUGUAGAGGUGAAAUUCGUAGAGAUUGGGUAGAACACCGGUGGCGAAGGCGGCCAUCUGGGCAUUAACUGACGCUGAGACGCGAAAGCAUGGGGAGCAAACAGG
rnacentral:rRNA from 1 species